CUGCUGUUCUUAUUGAGAAAAUGAAGGGUCUCUUAAAAACCCAACUGAAAUGCCUAGAGCCGGAGUGGCAGGGCGAGUAACGUACGUGGAGGGUGCCAGGCGGCCUUGUCGGAGUGCCAGGACACAGGGUAAAAGCAACAAGAAUGCGACCUCUGGCGUAGGCUAAAAGUGUGUGUGGUGGGGGGGAGGGGUCGCGGCCGCCCGCACCACGCCAGGGAUCGGGAGGUCGGUCGGCCGGCUGGCAGAGAGGAAGAAAAAAAAGUUGCUUCCCUGACCGGGAAUCGAACCCGGGCCGCGGCGGUGAGAGCGCCGAAUCCUAACCACUAGACCACCAGGGAGCGUCAGGCCUUCCGCCUUGUCUGUGCCUCCUGGACCCGGGGCCCGUAGCCCGCCCGCUCGCCGCUCCCUCGCCGCCGGCCCCCUGCCUUGCGCAGGCCAGCCGCCCGCCGCCCAGGCCCAGGCACGCGCCCUCGCCUGCUUCCUGCUCGCCGCGUCCUCAAAACGCUGCGCGCGCCUCCUGCCCGGACACGCACACACAGCCGCAUGAAUGCCUCCCGCCGCCCGCCUCCGGGGGCAGGAGGGCCCCGCAGCUCGGCAAAAGGUCGGCCCGCUGCGUUGGCCGGGAAUCGAACCCGGGUCAACUGCUUGGAAGGCAGCUAUGCUCACCACUAUACCACCAACGCCGCACGGCCCGGACUGUCCCGAGAUGCCGACCCGGGGCUCCAGCCACAGCCGACUCGCCGCCGCCGCUGCCGCCUGGCGCAGCCCUGCUCAGAGGCCCCGCCCGCCCACAGCGCGGCGCUGCCACCGGCCCCACCAACCGCCGCCCCGCGCCCCCCCAGCGUCGCGCCCGGCGCGGCAGCCCUCGUCCGCCGGGACGGACCGCCUCUGGGGGGCGCCCUCGCUGCCAUUCCACAAAGCGGACCCCGACGCCGACCGCCCCGCCAAACCCGCGGCCGGGCACACGUCCUCCACCGGCCGGCUCGCCCCAGCCCUUCUCCACCGGCUGCUCGGCGAGGCAGCUGCGCGCACCGAGAGAGGACCCACCCGCCGCCCGUCCCGGCAGCUGUGCAGCUGUGCAGCGCGCGUCGCGCGUCGCGUCGCGUCGCAGGGAGCCCCG
rnacentral:tRNA from 1 species